rnacentral:lncRNA from 1 species
GUCAGAAACCGCGUACAUAAAAAGCGUGCACUUCGAAUGCUUACUCUCUCUGCUCCAGUUCAGAGGUACGCGCUUCUUCAUCCUCGGUCUUCCCAUACUGAAAAUUUACUAAUUGCGACCUCAUUUUUCGUAAUCUUCUUUCGAAUUUGAUAUACUGUUCCUAUUUUCUUUGGUUGAAUGCUUGUGUUUUGCCGCGUUUUGUUUGCUUGAUUACUGAUAAAAUGCCGCAAAGAAAACGAACCCAAUUUUUCUUAGUUCCAAUAUGAAGUGAUGAAGUCCAGCAAAGUAUGUGUAGCGAAAUUUGAAUCUAGUAGUGGUUGCUAUUUGAAUUGUAAAUAGAAAUCCAUGUCUCACUAUCCAGAAAUUAUCCAAAUUCUGUUUUGUAUUGUGUCUUUGUAUAUGAGUUUAUGUGGAAACUUUGUCUACAACUCUGGCUUCAAGAAUUAUAUGUCCAUUUUUUCGUUUUUGGAAAGAUUUUUAAACGCUAAAUGUUGAAUUCAUAAGUUUAGUUUCUCUGUUCUCUCACUGCAUUCAUACUAUGACACACAAUCUUUACAUCAUUUGAAGGAGGAGAUGAAUUUGCCCAUGCUUUAUUUUUUUCCUUUCUAAUGGAUUGUCCAGUGGAUGGUGAGGAGGGGAAGGCGGGGAAGCAAAUGUUAAGCCCCUGCAAUCUGUAUUGUCAAUGAUACAAUCCAUAGUUUCCAAACAUUAGUAUUUAGAUUAGCGAGCUAAAGUAGGAAGAGAUCCAGUUUGCACCGUAUACUAUUUUAGAAUAUGAAUACCUCUUCCUCUUACCCCUCUGUUUUAUAACAAAAAAUACUAUAUUAUGCAGGAACCACCAACAGCAAUCAAAAUGUGUCGAUACCAAGAUUGGGAAGAUGACCAACCAGAUAGUGAAGUUCAUGAUGAAUAUCCUGGCAGAGAUGCAGUGACUGCUUUUAUACGCCAAAUUGAACAAUUAGAGGAUUUUUGGACAACAUGAAAGGUGAUAGUUCCAAAAAGCCAAACAAAUUUUGGUCUGGAUUCUUGUCAGGCAUCUGUUUCACCAUACUGCUCAACUAUGUGAUCAAGUACGUAACUAGUAACUCGUAACUAGUUAGGGUUGAUUUUGUAUAGCAAUUUGACAUCCCAGACCUUAUUCAGGUUCAGUGCACUUCUAAUGGCAUUUGUGUUCAGUUCUAUUCAUGUUGUGAAGAAACUCCUGUGGUUGUGGAUGUUUUGACUUGUGCAAUUUAUUUGGCUGCUUUAUGGCACCUAUCUCCC